rnacentral:rRNA from 1 species
GACAGAGGAUGCAAGCGUUAUCCGGAAUGAUUGGGCGUAAAGCGUCUGUAGGUGGCUUUUUAAGUCCGCCGUCAAAUCCCAGGGCUCAACCCUGGACAGGCGGUGGAAACUACCAAGCUGGAGUACGGUAGGGGCAGAGGGAAUUUCCGGUGGAGCGGUGAAAUGCGUAGAGAUCGGAAAGAACACCAACGGCGAAAGCACUCUACUGGGCCAUUACUGACACUGAGAGACGAAAAGCUAGGGGAGCGAACAGG